GGAAAGAUGGCUCAGUGGUAGAGUGCUUGUCUUGCAUGCAUGAGGCCCUGGGUUCAAUUUCUCCA
rnacentral:tRNA from 1 species